CGUUGAUAUGAACCCUGGACAAGCAUAGUCUGCUGCCACAAAGACUAAAGUGCUACAUUUCAACAGCCGAGACAAGCAAGUGAUCAUUAAUAAAGCUUUUCUUGGGUUCCUUCAGUGGUGUUGGUAGUAAAAUGGACGGUGUCUUGCUGCAGGUAACUAAUGAAGAAGUGGUCAACCACAGAAACCUUCAAGAAAUCAGAAAUUCUGUCCCAUCUGAAAUAGGUUUUUAUUGGUCUCUACACCAGUUUAAUUUAGAUGAAAGGAAUAUGUAUCCUGAUAAUAAAGACAAAAAAACCUCAAUGAAGGAUUGUGUGUGGAUUUCAAUAACAUGAUCAUAAAUGCUUGUAACUUUGUAAACUAAUUUCCAACUGGCUAGACCGUUGUAUUAUGUUUAAAAUUAGGCUUUCAAGCAGACAUACUAGUUUUUUAAUAAAAAAAAAAAGUUUUGUACCAAAGUAGUUCGCGGUGAUUACGCAAAACGUGUACAUCUUCGUUAACUUGCACGGAAGUGUGCCGUAUUCCUGGUCUAAUUCUGAAAAAGGUCUCCAUUUUCCAUGUGCAGUUCUGGUACAAAUGGUUUGUCACCCUUGCUGGUUAAAUUGUGAAUAUGCCUGAUCAUUUUGAGGAUUGGUGGCUAUCUGCUCAGUCUUGACAUCUGGUAAUGCGGUUUCAGUGAGCAGUGCUAGCUGAAUGCACGGGACUGCUUUUAGGCCUCCCAGUGAAAGGUUAGCUGCAUUUUAUUUAAUGCUGGAGUAACCAAAGCAAAGAGAUACUAGUUACUGGAAUUGUGGAGACCCAUGAUGAAUUGAAAUGUGCACUUAGACCUAGAUAGGGAAACGUUCUGGUUUUCUAUAAGUCGGUGUCGUUCUCUAGUACCAGGUGGGUUUUGCUUAGGAUGAAAUGUGAAAUCUCUAACUUUAAAUCACCUUAGCUUGUGCCAGUGUCUUUAUCUCUCUGAACCAGUUUCCUUCUGAAAAAAUGUGGUUCUAUACCUCUCCUCCCUUCGCAGAGAGGGUGAGAACAAAAUGAAAAGUAAUGUGAGUGCCCUUUGAAAAAAGUGUGCAAAAAAUGCCCUAGAGAGACAGUCACGGGAGGAGGGAUUUGGGGUUCCUUUUCUGCAGUGGAAACUUGCCUAAACUUGGGUUAGCCGGAAGAGAGGUAGGAGGCGGAGCCUUUUGAAAACUUAAUCCAUUUUCUGCAGGUGACUUAAAACAGCAGAGCCUGAGCAGUGCUCCUGAAGACCUCCCCAGUGCAGCAGGCAGUUGGCAGGUUGGGUUCAAUAAAAUGAACUGCUCAACUAAUGGGCUUUUCUUGUUAAACAGCAGUGCCUCUGGGCACCAGCAUGCCACUCUGCCAACCCCAGAGCUCUCCCAAGGCCAAGUUCACCCAAACACUUCCAUUUAUCCAGCACUGGCAACUUGCAUCUUUAUCCU
rnacentral:lncRNA from 1 species